AUUUUUGAUUUUCAACCGACUUCAAAAAAAGGAGGAGGUUCUCAAUUCGACCCGUAUGUUUUUUUUUUUUUCUAUGUUUGUUACGCGAUAACUCCGCCAAUUAUGAACCGAUUUGAACAAAUCUUUUUUCAGCGUAUAGGUAAUACCUCAAGGGUGGUAUACCAUGAUUGAUACUUUUGGAGUCGGUGCAGGCAAAC